ensembl:snRNA U6 U6 spliceosomal RNA
GUGUUCACUUUGGUAGCACAUAUACAAAAAUUGGAACAAUACAAGGAUUAACAAGGCCUCUGUGCAAGGAUGACACAAAAACUUGUAAAACAUUCCAUAUUUGG